GCAGCCUCUGGUAACCACUGUUCUACUCAAUACUUCUAUGAGGUGAACUUCUUUGGAUUCCACAUAUGAUCAAGAUCAUGAGGAAGGAGGAGCAAGUCUUCUUUGUCAUGCUAUUAAGAAAAUACCCAGAGUCACAGCACCAUGAUCUCCUUGUGAAGCAGAACAAGUAAUAUAAAACUGAUCUAAAGAGGCCUCCCCUCUACUCUUAUCUGUC
rnacentral:lncRNA from 1 species